CAGAACUCUAUGUGAGUCCACAUGGGGACAGAAGCAGUAAACGUUGACUGUGCAUGGUCCUGUGAUUUGAGUUCUGGAUUGUACACAACUUGGUUCACAGAAAGGGAAGACUUACCAGAUCUUGCUUAAAAUUCUUUUUUUGCAUUUUUUUUUUCCAUGACAAAACAUUGCCCUUCAAUGUACAAUAAAUAACCUUUUCUAUGUCCGUAAGUGCUAAAGGGAAAUGACAGCUGCCAUGGUUAACAAGACACGAGGGUCUCAUUCUGAGGGCAGGAGGUUACAAUCACUGCAGCACACCUGAGCAGGCUGGAAUCAGUUUGCAGAGAGGUGAGUGUCUUUAUUUAUAGUAUUCUAACAAAUAUUGGUUUGUACACAUAUAAUUUUAGUUGAUUUGCAACUCAUUGAAUUCAAACAGUUAAACUGCUUUUUUGUUUGCAGCGUCCAGCCCUCCUGUUGUCCAGGACCUGAGGAUUGUUCUGCUGGGAAAAACCGGAUCAGGAAAGAGUUCAGCAGGGAAUACCAUCAUGGGGAAG